GGCAGUAGGGCCGCAUGGAGAUUAGCAUGCUUGCAUGUGUAGCAGCAAAUUCGACUGGAGAAUGGCGUGCUCAUGUGUGGGGCGUUAAGCUCGCAUGGAGACUGAGAUGAUCGUAUGUAGAACAUUAGACUCGUAUGGAGACCGACGUACUGGUAUGCAAAAAAGCUUGCGCGCAUGGCGACUUACGUGUUCGUAUGUAGAGGAGCAUGUGCGCUAGCGCAUGUGUGCUCGCUCGUGAGUAAAGGAGCAUGCGCGCGUGGCGACUUACGUGCUCGUAUGUAGAGGAGCAUGCGACUGGCGACUUAUGUACUCGUAAGUAAAGGAGCAUGUGCGCGUGGCGACUUACAUGCUCGUAUGUAAGAGAGCAUACGCGUAUGGCGACUUACGUGCUCGUAGUAAGGGAGCAUGCGCGUAUAGCGGCUUACGUGCUCAUAAAUGGAGGAGCAUGCGUGCAAAACGCAUGUGUGUUCGCUCGUAUGUAGGAGGAGCAUGCGCGUAUGGCGACUUACGUGCUCGUAAAUUGAGGAGCAUGCGUGCAAAACGCAUGUGUGCUCGCUCGUAUGUAGAAGGAGCAUGCGCGUAUGGCGACUUACGUGCUCGUAAAUUGAGGAGCAUGCGUGCAAAACGCAUGUGUGCUCGCUCGUAUGUAGAAGGAGCAGGCGCGUAUGGCGACUUAUGUGCUCGUAUGUAAAUGAGCAUGCGCGUAUGGCGACUUACGUGCUCGUAAAUUGAGGAGCAUGCGUGCAAAACGCAUGUGUGCUCGCUCGUAUGUAGAAUGAGCAUGCGCGUGUGGCGACUUAUGUGCUCGUAAAUUGAGGAGCAUGCGUGCAAAACGCAUGUGUGCUCGCUCGUAUGUAGAAUGAGCAUGCGCGUGUGGCGACUUAUGUGCUCGUAUGUAAAUGAGCAUGCGCGUAAGGCUACUUACGUGCUCG
rnacentral:lncRNA from 1 species